rnacentral:miRNA from 1 species
UUGUCCGCUAUCACUGUACUGUCAUUUUUCAGUCUCAAGACAGAGAUACCUUCUCUGAAUUCAUAAAAGCUGCUCUCCGUUCCGAAGGGAUUCAGAAGUGAUAAAUCCAG